rnacentral:tRNA from 1 species
GCCCGGGUGGCGGAAUUGGUAGACGCAAGGGACUUAAAAUCCCUCGUCCUUACGGACGUGCCGGUUCGAUUCCGGCCCCGGGCACCA